UCAUCCUUCAAAGAAUGAGAUUGGUCACUUUGGCUGCGCCCGACUAGAACUCCGUCCAGAUAUGGCAUCAAAAUACAUCCAAUGGCCUAGGAUUCGUGUUGAUCCUGAGUGGAGUGCCCAGUGGUUCUACCAUCGGAUCCAUACUCCCGAUCUAGUCAAGUUCGAUGCUAAGCCCCCUGUUUAUGUUUGGGAAUGGUUCAUGACCUGCCCUAUCGAAGGCGGGUUCCAAACAAGUGAGUUGUUAGAAAGAAUUGGAAUUUUGCGGGGAAAACGAGUGACAGCAGCUUCAGUCAUGAAAAACUGGAAACAGCGUGGAAUCCAGGCUCUGCAGAAGAGGAAAUCUUUUGGUUUUCAGUAUGAGGGUGCUCAAGAUGACUCUCGUAUAUCCACAGAGACGAUUGAUGCUGCAACCACUUUGAAGAUCGUGCAGAAAAUUUUCCCUGAUCAAUCAUCGGUCCCUUAUGUGCCGAGUGUGUAUCGGGCAAGUAAUCCUCCUCCCCAGACUAAUGUAAGGAUUUUCAAGAGUGAUCCUCCUGCUCCUGGUUCUGGCAACAUCAAGGGACAAGGACAUUUCCACCGGCCUGUGCAUAUGGUAUUCCAAGAACCUAUUGUUGAAGAGGCGUCGAACAACUCAUCUUCCUCGAAUGCUAAUGAGUCUUCGGAUAACAUCUGGAUGCCCUCGCCAAACAGGUGGUAUAGUACUCUUGCUCUCACCAUGAUUUGAUGAGUAGAUUUGCAUAGUACUCUGAUUAACAGGAAUUUGGAUGAGGCUGAGGAAGUCGGGGCUGCCGAAGGACAACAUGAUCCUGCUCCUCCCCUUCCGACAGAGUCUACGCCUAGCUCCGGCCUUGGGCGCUGGAUACUCCGAGUUGCUCGGCAAUGGAGUAGUCCUGCCCCUGGCUCUGGAGCUUCUUCUACUGGUGCUAUUCUAGUGGUUGGAUUGGUGCGAGCGUCUUAGUGACUAGUCGUGAAGCGCUCGACCAUGUCUGCUGCUGGAGUGAAACGUCCUAUAGCUGCAUCGGCGGCUACUCGGGAGGAAACAGGAGCCCCCAAGUCCUCCAUAAGGAGAGAAGAAACCCCCUCUGCCGCUGCAAAUAUGGAGAUUCCCAAGGAGGACCGCUCUGCUAGGACGGAGGGUACUUCUAUCCCAGCUGCAGCUGCCUCAUCUGGUCCAAGUCCCAGAGGUCUGGCUCAACCGGAUUUGCCUACUGGAUUGGAUCCUAAUGAGGUUCCCGUUGGGUUGAUAGAAGACAACCUCUUGUCGGCUGAGUUGUGCAAUGAGUCACUUAGCUCCAUUCAUCGCGUAUACAAGCACUUUAAGAUUGGUACCUUAUGCAGAGGGUAGUCGAGCGUUCUCGAUUGAAGUCCUCCAUCCUUGUCGUGAAGGCAGAAAGGCUCAAUGAUGCAUGCGCUCUUAGGGAAGAGCUAUUAGAGAAAGAUGCUACAAUUACAGAAUUGAUGCAGCAGAUCUCCAACUUACAAGCCGGAGGCUCCGCGAUUGCGCCAGAUGAAACACUUCUAAAGUGUCAACAAGAAAGAGAUCAGGCUCGUCGGGACUGUGAAGGGUUGCGCCAAGCCAAUGCUGAUCUUGAAUAUUACAAGGAAAGCAUGGAGGCGGACCUGAGGAGUGCCGACAAGAAGCUUGCGGAAAAUCUGAAGACGAUUCAGAAGUUGAACCGGGACGUGGAGAGGAGGGAUAAAGAAAUUGAAGACCUGGAGAGUGCCGAUCGAGAGGUCGUCGAUACUGUGCAGCCUCCUCGCCCCUGUGUUGCCGGCUGCCGUUCCGUCUUGGAAAGACUUAGGCAGGUGCUUGAUUUGCUAAGGAACUCGUCGCAAAGGCAGAGUUCCCAGAAAUAGAUGUAUGUACUUGAAGUACUUUUUGCAAAGAUGAACAUUUUCUUAUGUUGAUGGAAUAUCAACAAGUGCUUUGUUCAUUAUU